UGGUAGCCGGCUCAGCCAAGUCAAGGGUGGAA
rnacentral:piRNA from 1 species